CUCCAUGAAGCUGGAUUCGCUAGUAAUCGCGCAUCAGCCACGGCGCGGUGAAUACGUUCCCGGGCCUUGUACACACCGCCCGUCAAGCCAUGGAAGCCGGGGGUGCCUGAAGUGCGCUGCCGCAAGGAGCGCCCUAGGGUAAAACCGGUGACUGGGGCUAAGUCGUAACAAGGUACC
rnacentral:rRNA from 1 species